rnacentral:rRNA from 1 species
AUUGAACGCUGGCGGCAGGCCUAACACAUGCAAGUCGAGCGGGGUUUUCGGACCUAGCGGCGGACGGGUGAGUAAUGCGUAGGAAGCUACCCGAUAGAGGGGGAUACCAGUUGGAAACGACUGUUAAUACCGCAUAAUGUCUACGGACCAAAGUGUGGGACCUUCGGGCCACAUGCUAUCGGAUGCGCCUACGUGGGAUUAGCUAGUUGGUGAGGUAAUGGCUCACCAAGGCGACGAUCCCCAGCUGGUUUGAGAGGAUGAUCAGCCACACUGGAACUGAGACACGGUCCAGACUCCUACGGGAGGCAGCAGUGGGGAAUAUUGGACAAUGGGCGCAAGCCUGAUACAGCAAUUCCGCGUGUGUGAAGAAGGCCUUCGGGUUGUAAAGCACUUUAGUUGGGGAAGAAACAGCUUGGCCACACCAAGCCUUGACGGUACCCAAAGAAUAAGCACCGGCUAACUCUGUGCCAGCCGCCGCCGUAAGAC